UACGAAGGGGGCUAGCGUUGUUCGGAAUCACUGGGCGUAAAGCGCAUGCAGGCGGGCCGUUAAGUUUGGGGUGAAAUCCCGAGGCUCAACCUCGGAACUGCCUCUGAUACUGGCGACCUUGAGUCCGGGAGAGGUGAGUGGAACUGCGAGUGUAGAGGUGAAAUGCGUAGAUAUUCGCAAGAACACCAGUGGCGAAGGCGGCUCACUGGCCCGAUACUGACACUGAGGUGCGAAAGCGUGGGGAGCAAACAGG
rnacentral:rRNA from 1 species